UACGUAGGGUGCAAGCGUUGUCCGGAUUCAUUGGGCGUAAAGAGCUCGUAGGCGGCUGUUCAAGUCGAAACGUGAAAACUCGGAGCUCAACUCCGAGCCUGCGUUCGAGACUGGAUGGCUAGAGUCUGGUAGGGGGAUCUGGAAUUCCUGGUGUAGCGGUGGAAUGCGCAGAUAUCAGGAGGAACACCGGUGGCGAAGGCGGGUCUCUGGGCCGAUAUUGACGCUGAGGAGCGAAAGCGUGGGGAGCGAACAGG
rnacentral:rRNA from 1 species